UAAUUAACUGGUGAAUUUUGAUUAAGAUCUGAAAGCCUCUAGUCGUCCGUUCAAAUCUGAGAUGAUUCAAAAGAUGGGAGAAGUACAGUAGCAUGGUCGAUCACGUUUUUCUUUUCUCUUCAUCGCCCAACUCUGCCACACUUCUGCCCCUUCUUCCUCUAUCGGCCGACGACUACCAUCUCUACCAUCACAACCGUCGACCGGUCUGCUCAUCCCAACAGCACCCUCAACCAAUUGGAAGAGAUUCUCUCCACUGAAUCCAUCUCAGGUGACCCUCUUCUCCGAUCAGAUCCGAGAUGAGAGGAGAAACCCAAUCACCCCUACCAGAUCUCAUUUCAUCUUCACGUUUGUCACCAGCAGUUUCCUUUGGAAGACUCAGAUUUGAGUCUUCUUCACACAACCACCACUGAAGUUCCCUCCCAGAUUCGGGAGCCAUCUACUCCGUUCCAUAGCCCUCUCCCGAUUUGGAGAGGAGUCACCACCGUCAUCUCGUCUUUGGCCACCCUUCCUAGCUCUAGUACAUGCCCUUACAUGUUUUGGACAGCAGAUUCAUCUCACACAUCCAUCCGGAUCGUAACAUCCCUUCUUCGGCAAGUUUUGAUUUGGUUGUUCGUUGUGUUGCUUUGUUUCAUUUGGUUGUUAGUUGAUCUCCAUAUUUGAUUCAUUGUAGUAGAUCCAAUGUUUCAUGCCUAAGAUGUCAUGUAUUAAGUUUCAAUCGUUUGACGCUAACCAAGUGUUCGAUAAAUUUCCCCAAACACUACUUGAAGUUGAUUUGAUCCGAAUACUUUGAUGUGUUGAUCGCUAGAAUGAAUUCAUGUUUGGAUGCUUGUAAUUGAUUUGGUUCCCAUGAUUAGGAUUUCAUGUAGUGAGUUUUGAUUGGAUGAUGCUUGCAAGGUGUUUGAUGGAAUGUUUUCCUUGAGUAAUUAGACUUUUGUUUGGUAAUUCCUUUAGUUAGUUGUUUGCAUUGCUUGUUAGUGUUAAAUCCAUUAUGUUUGUGCCCUUCCUUUGAAUGCAAUUAGGAUAGAUUAGCUUAGGUUACAUUACAUGCUCUAGGUUUGUUGCUUUGAUUUAAAUCUAUCUUGUUGCUUUUAUCACACUAUAUUGAUUAUGUUUUGACUUGAUAGAUAGUGUCACUGGCAAUUCAAAGUGGGAAUGAUCUGCUUCUGAAAGGAGGAAAACAAGCUAGGUGUUCAAAUGUAAUUCUUCAUAAGGUAAUCACUGCAGUCAUUCCUAAUACGAUUGGUGAAAAACAUAUUACAUUCAAGACUUCAAAAUAAUAUAUUCUAGAUUUUGUUAAGGUGAGGAUAAAAAUUUGAUGAUGAAUAUACUUUAUAAGUUGUUAACAUCUAAAUUGGUAUUCUAUGCAUCAACUUGAUGAUGUAAUAGAUAUUGUGAUUCCAAGAGAAAAUAAUAGACCUAUUUCUCAGAUAAAAAGCUCAGAUAUGUGUUUUGUCACUCCUUUUACCUCGUAGUUACAAAGCAAUGGAGAUUCAUGUCAUAUGAUUUAUUAUACUAUGUAUAUAUGGAAUUUUCCAUGUUUAUGUUGAUAAAUUUGUGAAGAUGGAAAUGGCAAGGCAUAUCAUAGUGGACUCAAAGUUGGAUUAUCCAACUACCUGUAAUGCAAUGGAAACACUUCUCAUUCAUGAGGAUUUGUUAAGCAACGAUGAUUUCCAGGAGCUUGUUCUGGAACUUAAACAUGAAGGUACUUUGUUUCUCCACUGGACUACCCUAUUAAACCAAAAUCAUUUUAUGUGAUUGUAGGAUUAUUAUAUGUAUAUUUUAUACAGUACUGGUGAAAUGAGUUGGAGAAUUGAUGUUGUGAUGGAUUAUUAUAUGUAUAUUUUUUUCGCUUA